AUGAGUGGUAAUUGGUUUGUUUGGGCUGGCAGGCUCCGUGCUCGUGCAUCGAACUGUCGCCCUUCGAUCCCUGUUCAUCGACAACCCUAGGGCUUAAUUGCCCUUGCGGUGGAGCUUUGGUUCCUGUGUUGCGUACCCCAUUAUUGCGGAAUUACUCUGUUGGAAUAUCCUUUCCUUCCCCGUCUUCAAGUCGACGAACGGGGAGGACAACAUGGCGAUUCGAGCGUUCCAUGCACGCAUAAGCCCUAGGCGGUUGCUAUGGCACAUUCGUUCUUGUCGGUGCUUUUGGAUGCGGAAUGUUGUGCUUUGCAAGAGGAGCUCUUCAGCCCUCUGUAGUCCCGAAUAGAGCAAAAAUUGCUCAAUAAGUCUGACUAUCGCACAUGCUUUGGCACGUCGUUCUAAUUUAUUAGCUCGGUGGGCCAUUGCGCGUUGCGGUGUCGCGAAAGAUCGCUACCUGGUUGAUCCUGCCAGUAGUCAUAUGCUUGUCUCAAAGAUUAAGCCAUGCAUGUGUAAGUAUGAACUAAUUCAAACUGUGAAACUGC
rnacentral:misc_RNA from 1 species